ACCUUUUACUUUUCUAUAGAACUACUUAGUCAUGUUCCUAUUUCCAAUACAUGGGUUGUCUUCUGGCCCUGUGACGAUUGUUAUUCCCCUAGUUACUGUUGUUAUGGCCCCAUGACAAUUAUUAUUCCCUUAGUUACUGUUGUUAUGCUUUUGCUUUCAGUGUUUUUGCUCAACUUUAUUUUUCUGCCUAAAGCUUCCGUGUAUGCCAUGAUUAAAGCACCCUUGUUCCACUAGAGACUUGGGUCCCCCGUGUUCUUCUUUUCUUCAUCUUCUUUUCGUUGACUCCUUUCCCCAGGUUCCCAUCUGUCAAGACCAAAACAAGUGGCACCCGAACAGGGACCUGGAGUACACCCUUGGCAAGCUGAUGGAGUGACUCUGGACCUACUGAGAUGGAUCUAACGAACUCACCUGGCUCCCUCUUCAGAAGAUCUGCCCCAAGGGAGCCUCCGGCAUUCAAAAUAAAGAUGAAACCAAAAAACCCCUGGGAGGAAGAAAUUCCAAUACAGGUCAUGGCAGCUCUGAAAAUCUCCAAGAAGACCAAAACAUUCAGGUUGUGAUGAAAGUGGUGGAAGAAGUAAAACUGGACGAAGCAAUGGAAAGUGACUGCAGAGUGGGGAGGAGGAGCAGAUAGACUCGUGAUCAGGUCAACAGAGGAGACAUAUGAGCUGAUGGCAUUUGAGCUGAGACCUCCAGGAUUAAAAGGAGUCAAUCAUUUAAAGAGUUGUGGGAAGAGGGACUGGGGCAACAGGAACAGCAAGUGCAAAGGCCCUGAGGUCAGCCUCCCCACAGGAGAAAGCUGAAGAGAUUAAAAUUUCCUGCAGCUGAAACCAUCACCAAGAGCAAAAGAAUCCAUCCCUGGGCAUUGGAAGUGUGAUUAAUAACUGAACACAUGGGUUCAGGGGUCAAGUCUCCAUCAGUUACUUUGUGACCUUAGAUCAGUGUGGUUCUCAGCUAGGGUGGAUUCUGCCUCCAAGGGACAUUGGACAAUAUCUGGAGAAAUUUUUGGUUGUAGCAACUGAGAUGAAGGUACUGGGGGUGUUACUGGUACCUAAUGGUCAGAGGUCAGGGAUGCUGCUAAACAUCUUGUAGCACAUG